rnacentral:rRNA from 1 species
UACGUAGGGGGCUAGCGUUGUCCGGAAUCAUUGGGCGUAAAGAGCGUGUAGGCGGUCCGGUAAGUCCGCUGUGAAAGUCGGGGGCUCAACCCUCGAAUGCCGGUGGAUACUGUCGGGCUAGAGUGCGGAAGAGGCGAGUGGAAUUCCUGGUGUAGCGGUGAAAUGCGCAGAUAUCAGGAGGAACACCUAUUGCGAAGGCAGCUCGCUGGGACGUAACUGAAGCUGAGACGCGAAAGCGUGGGGAGCAAACAGG